CCUACGGGAGGCAGCAGUGGGGAAUCUUGCGCAAUGGCCGAGAGGCUGACGCAGCGACGCCGCGUGGGGGAUGAAGCAUUUCGGUGUGUAAACCCCUGUUGCUCGGGACGAACGAUCCUUUUCGAGGGAUGUGACGGUACCGAGUGAGGAAGCACCGGCUAACUCCGUGCCAGCAGCCGCGGUAAUACGGAGGGUGCGAGCGUUGUCCGGAAUCACUGGGCGUAAAGGGCGCGUAGGUGGUUGGAUGCGCCGGUGGUGAAAGCGCAGGGCUCAACCCUGCGUCGGCCAUCGGGACGGUCCGACUGGAGCACUGUAGAGGCAGGUGGAAUUCCGGGUGUAGCGGUGGAAUGCGUAGAGAUCCGGAAGAACACCGGUGGCGAAGGCGGCCUGCUGGGCAGUUGCUGACACUGAGGCGCGACAGCGUGGGGAGCAAACAGGAUUAGAUACCCUGGUAGUCCCACGACCGUAAACGAGUGGCGACGUAGGUGUCGUUGGGGGUAGGACCGGACCCCGUCGAGGUGGCCGGACCGGCCGUAACCGACCGACGUUAAGUUACGGCCCCGCCCGUCGGGGACGGUACCGGACCCGGACCGAACGGUUAGGUAAACGUUAAACGUUAGUAGUUAGUACGGCGUGAGACGUCGACCGAACGGACGACCGACCGAGGGGAGGUUAGGG
rnacentral:rRNA from 1 species